rnacentral:lncRNA from 13 species
GGAACUGAGAGGGAGAGAGGAGGAGGAGUCAUGAGGAAUGGUAGAAUGUAGUGGGGAGGGGUGGACCACUGAUCACACUGAUUGUUUCAAUCGUAAAGCUAAAAUGACACUCUUAUGGAUACGUGUGUGGGUGUGUGGAGUGAGCGUCCCCACCAACAAGCUAUUUGUCUAGGUUUAAAUAUCUCAAGCACCACUAGUGUGGUGCCAAGUGGUGCCAAUUUUUCACAUUGAGAAGCUAUUCACCGACAAACUGGUAUGUGUCUGGUUCCUUCCCCAGUGACGUGUUUUAUCAGCAGUUACUUUUACCCCUCUGAUCCAGCCCUGUGCGUGCGUGCAUGUGAGUGUGUAUGUGCGAGACAGCUGAGGAGAGGCAUGGCUGUUAAAUCACUUCACUGUCUGCUUUCUCUCCUCCAGAGUCCAGAGGGACCAGGGCCUUGGCUCUCCGCUGGAGCAGCUGUGGACUCACUGGGCAGGGCCAAGUCAUGCAGCUGAUAGUGGAGCCUGUGAAAGGCUCAGCGCUCGACACACAGGCACCUCUGUGACCCCCUGGCCUGCAGCGCCCAGACAAACAUCAGGAGAGCGAGAAUGGUGACAGGUCACAGAGACAGACGUGAGAGGCAGAGGCAUGCCAAUAAGUAUGUAACAAGCCAUUAUAUGGUAUUUAAACUGUUGCUUGAUGUAAACCCUACUCUUGGGUAAAAAAAAAUGCUCUAGUGGAUGUCACAGAACAUACCCCCUUCCUGGUCUGAUAGGUUCAGAUAGAGGUCUCUCCAUUUCUCACACAGAUGCUAGAGGAGAGGUAGAGUGGUUUCUCCUACUGAUUCCCCAUGUGGCUUUGUGCCAGUAUUGAGUGGUGAGGCUGGGCUGCCUGUGGUAAUGAGUGUCUAAGGACCAUUACUUCAUGGACCCAGGCACAACACUGUGAUGCAGACAGAUAGAGGUGAACUUUUAGGUUGACAUAUGCCACUGAUGAGGCUUUCAGCAGUAUUCCUCCCUGCACUACAACACACUUAUUUUAGUCCUUUCUGUCUGAAUGGCUAACUCUGGGCCUUUCUCACUGGGCUAUUACUAAACAAAUUGGACAAUAUAAUGUCUUACUUACUUAGCCUAUCCCCUAACAUACUUGGGACCAAUAACCAUCAACUAAACAUAUAAUGGAGAUUUGGCAUUGUUGAUAUUUCUACAUAUUAUGUUGUCCAUCCUCUCCCUGUUAACUGGUCUGCCACCCCAUGAGAAGGACAAGUAGAGUGCCUGUCUAGAGACAGUGUAGCUACCACUUCUAUUCUGAGACCUAUGGUUGGAGUAUGUGGAUGUUUUUAGUAGUAUUGUUUCUGGUGGUAAUCUCGUCACUUAUGGGAUGAGCAGAGGAAAAUAUGAUACGAAUGGAAGACUCCAGUGAUUUGCUGAUGUUGUUGCUUAAGCCGACAACACCAGGGAUUAUGAAGCCUUACAAUCAUGAUGAGGUGUGAUGUUACGAAUCACAUCGCAGCACAGCAUUGUCUCUCCAAAAUGUGCCUUACGUAACCUAGCCCUCAUGUAACAGUCAUAACUCAGUGUAAUGUGAAGGUGGGAUGUCUCCCUCCGUGACCAAUCUGGCUGUGGGCCUUCAGGCUUCCAGGGCAGCUCAGGUUCCUCUCAUCACCUAUUAGAACCUGAUGAGCCCCCAGCCCCAGUUUUCAGCCCUUAGCCCCCCUUGGCCCCUAGCCCCCAGCUCCAGCCCUCAGCCCCAGCCUCCCUUAGCCCCCAGCCCCCUGCUCCAGUCCUCAGUCCCAGCCCCCCUUAACCCCUAGCCCUCAGCCCUGGCUCCAGCUCUCAGUCCCAGCCCCCCUUAACCCCCAGCCCCCUGCUCUAGNNNNNNNNNNNNNNNNNNNNNNNNNNNNNNNNNNNNNNNNNNNNNNNNGUGUCUGGAGAACCAUUUUAUGCUCAGUAGACCUUAAACGGAACUCAUCCUCUCCCCCACCCCCUGUGCCAAACCCCCUUCCCAUUCCCUCUAGGGCCAGGACGAUACCAGUAUCGGAAUCAUUUUUCCAAGGUAAAAAUAAAAACACGAAGCAGACCACAGAUACAGAGCUGUUUGGUAUUUUAAAAACUUGGACAUAAAUAAAUGUGACUCUGGAUGACAACAUGAUAUAAAUGAGAAUCUGGAUGACAACAUAAUGUUUGUUUGCAACAUUAGUGCUGUUUUUCUAAAGAAGUUAAAUCUGCUUUGUUUUAUUUCCUUGCAGCGUUACUGAUAUUGUCCAGGCCCUAAUUCCCUCACCCUUCCUUCCCCCUCCUCCCUUCCCCCUCAGUGCC